ensembl:lincRNA
AAUUAACGGAAGUGGAAUAAGGAAGUAGAAGCCAGACAUCAGCAGAAACCAGAAGGCAGACUCCAGGAGAGAGAAUUGGCCAUGGGAGGAGGAUUGCACUAAUCAUCUAAAAGCCAAAAUAUCACCACUGGAAGUCUGCCAGCGGAACCCCCCAGCCACCGGGCUGCCGGGUCUCCCCUGCUGAGGCUGAGAGCGCGGAGAGAGGCGCGCGGGAGCGUCCGCCUCAGCGGCCGCGGCUCCCGUGCUCGCUGCCGACCCUGUCUGGGAACCAGAGCGAUGCCAAAGCCCAGGGCCCCCGCCGCCCAGGAGGCCCGCCACCGCCCCCACGCGCUCAGUGACGAACCUCGCCAGCCACCGACCUCUCCCAGUUCCUCUCCAGCGGCUCUGUAUUGAUAUUUUGACACUCGGAAGUUUCAGACUUGCAUGUUUUCAAAUAUUUUAUUAAUUUUCUUUAUGCUCACUUUACUGUUAACAUAUGAUAGUUCUCUAAUGUAAAACUAUAAAGAUAUCCACCUUUUUUCAAAUUAUUUUCAUAUAGAGCAUAAAUAUUCAUGAAAUUUAUUAAAUGGAAAUGAUAUGGGGAACCUACAUUAUUUUCAGCAAAUAUUUUAAGUCAUUCCAAUACCAAAUUUAACAUUGCAUCCUUUCAAUCACUGAUUUGUGAUGUCACAUUUUAUAAUGUACCAAAUUCUGGCCUAUAUUCAGGGCUGUCCAUCCUAUUCCUUUAAUUUUUUUAAAAACCUGGGUUGGAAAAAUAUACACCUUGUAGCUUAAAAAUAUUUUUUAAUAUUGCUAGAAUCAAAGACUGCCCCUAUUAAUAUUAUUUUUCUCCAUUUCUUGGCCUUCAUUAGAAAUUUUAACUUUUAGAAGAUCUGAUUUCACUUAAAACUCUUCCAUCCCCACAAUACAUUAACACACACACAACUUGGAAGUGUUUGUCAUAGUAUAGUCCAAAGAGACAAAGAGAUGUGGACUGUCUGAACAUUUUGCAGAAUAUCAUAUUGAUCCAUUACUUGGAUGAUAUCCAGGUGAUUAGGUAAUUCUAGCAAGUGGUAGCUAGCAUAUUGGAGGCCUUUCUAAAACACGUUUCAGGCAAUGGGGAUAAACCCAAGAAGAGUUAGGUAGAGAAAUCUAUUUAGCAAACUGAGUAGCCUUAGUGGUAGACUAGGAUACUGAAAAUCUAUAGAGAAACAUGAGGUUAUCCUUCAAAUUAUUUUACACUAGAUCAAAGGAUUGUAGGACGUACAAUUAGUAGAAAUGACUUAAAUUGAUAGAGAAAAGCAUAAGGAGAGCGUGAGUCUCCUCUAAAGAAUUAAGAUCAAUGCCCAAAUCCGAUGUAAAUUACUACUUUUUUUUGAGUGAUGAAAUAGCCAAGGUAAAUAACUAGUUGUCCUUUAAGAGUACUCUCCUGUGGUCUUGAGAACUCUAUGAUGAUUUAGGUUUCCUAGGUAGGAAAAACAUUCCUGCUAAUUCAGGUUAGGUCAACGAUGGGACUGAGAAUUUCAGAUCUGAAGGUGAGAUUUAGGUAUAUGUACCCAGCAAAAAGCUUUGCCAAAAGGAUAGUUUAUCUUGCAUUAAUUUGAAAGAAAUAAAACUAGAAUUAUUGUUUUACAUAAAACAUUACAAACAAAAUUCAUAUUCACCCCUUACCCUCCUCAGUGAAGAAAGUAAAGCUGAGGAGGUGAACCCAAACUUAAUUGGAUAUGCUGGGACAUGGCAGAUGGAACAAAGGUGUCAGUGGAAACAACAUGCAAAAUAUCUGAAAAUUUUAAUGUUAUAGCUAAGAAAUCAGAACACUUACUCCUAACUUGCUUAUACUUGAGUUUUUAAUUUCUAGGAGGCACCGAAUGGUGUUUCAGAACCCAUUCUUGAAGCACUUUAUAAUGAUAUAAGCAAUUGCUUCUUAGUUUAUAUCUCCAAUUCCUGAAGAGUUAAUAUCCAUUACACUAUAAUAAAAGUUUUGUUUUAUAUUAAAUUGCUAAUCAAGGCCAGUGUCAAAUUAUGACAUUGAUAAAUAAAUUUAUAUUGUGUAACUAACUUGGCAAAAACUUAAAACUCAUCAUGUUACCCCUCUUUUUGUGUCAAAAGAAAUACCCAGAACUAUAUGUUGAGUAACAAAUUGGUCCUUGAACAAGAUGUGAGUAGUCCUAAAUUCUUGUUCUUUUACUCCUACUGAUUCACUCGUAUGGAUUUUCUUUGUGGAUUUAGAUAAAUCAGUAACCUCUCUGUGCCUCAGUUUUCUUCCUUUCAUGUGCAAUGUGGGUAAUAAUCCCUGCCCAACCACAUCAUGAAAGUUGUUUUUAUCAAGUAAAAUUAAUGCUCAGAAAACCAGUAUGAAGUGUUAUAAGGAGUAU